AGGGAUAUAACUCUACGGUAGAGUGUCACCUUGAUGCGGAGGUGGUCAUCAGUUCGAGUCAGAUUAUCCCUA
rnacentral:tRNA from 1 species